rnacentral:rRNA from 1 species
CUACGGGUCGCACCAGUGAGGAAUAUUGCGCAAUGGGGGAAACCCUGACGCAGCGACGCCGCGUGGAUGAUGAAGGCCUUAGGGUCGUAAAAUCCUGUCAGGUGGGAAGAAGUGGAUAUAGAUUAAUACUCUAUUUCUUUGACGGUACCACCAAAGGAAGCACCGGCUAACUCCGUGCCAGCAGCCGCGGUAAUACGGAGGGUGCAAACGUUGUUCGGAAUUACUGGGCGUAAAGCGCGCGUAGGCGGUUUGUUAAGUCAGAUGUGAAAGUCCAUGGCUUAACUAUGGAAGUGCAUUUGAAACGGGCAGACUUGAGUACUGGAGGGGGUGAUGGAAUUCCCGGUGUAGAGGUGAAAUUCGUAGAUAUCGGGAGGAAUACCGGUGGCGAAGGCGAUCACCUGGCCAGAUACUGACGCUGAGGUGCGAAAGCGUGGGGAGCAAACAGGAUUAGAUACCCCGGUAGUC